rnacentral:lncRNA from 1 species
AUGCUCUCUCCCAAAAAAUGGAAAUGUGAACAUCAGCAGGAAAAGGAAUGUCUGGCAAGUUGCAUCAUUUCGAGAAACAAACCGUGUGAAUCCGCGUUUGCCAGUACAUUAGCAUACACAGUAUACAGAAAGACCAGCAUGCGUGCUUGUCUCCACAGUAAAAGAGAAACACAAAAAAGAGGUGAACGUUACUCUCCUCUACCCGUGACGGAGGUGUCUAGAAGAGAUGGCGCUCUAGAUGGAGGGGGCUUUGGUGAACCCUGGGGAGCAGAGGUGAAGUCCUCAGAUAGUAACCCCCAUUGUGGCCCGACUGGAAAUGCAUUCUUCCAGAGGACUUCCCCUCUCUGUGUUAGGCCCUGGGCUGGUGUGUGGGAGAAUCAGCAGGAACAGCCUCGGAGGGCAGGAGGAGAGGGUAGCACUACCCGGGAUCGGAAAACUUCUAGAAGGAGUUAAAACAAGGAGAACAACACCUUGGACAAGAUAGGCCCAUACAUGUCAGCCAGGGGAGUAAUCUACAACAGUUAUCAAAGUAUUCCUCCUAAUAUCUCCUCCAGCUUCUCCAUUACCCCCUCACCACACCCCCUCCUCACUCCCACUCCCCCUCCCAUUGUCAGCCCCCCCCCCCCCCCCCCCCGGCAAUGUGCAGCAGUGUGAUACUGAGAGAGGGCAGUUGAGCCCCACAUAAAGACCUGCCCAUAAUCUCCUCCCAUUGACAGGUCCACCUACCCCACCCACUGUGGCCAACACACACACACACAUAUAGAUGUGCACACGCUACGGCACAUCCCCACCAUGCUAUACACACCUACACACACACACACACACACAAACACCUACACACACGCACAUGUACGAAGCACACGCACACGCUACGGCACGUCUCCACCAUGCUAUACACACCUACACAUAGACACACACACACACACAAACACACACAUACUCCUAGUGAGAUGGGUUCUUUAAAGCAGGGGCCGCACCCGGAGUGACACGCUCUAUUAUAAAUAGCCUAAUCUAUAUGGUAAUACUGUUGUAUUCUACAAGCACAGAAUAGGGAUAAGAUAACAUUGUGACUUCAGGGUUCGGACUGCCUUCUAUGGUAAUUGUUAUCAAAGGUUAUUCUGGAUGACAUCGGGGCUGUGUUGUGAUUGGCUCUGGCCUGUUAUUUAUGAUAUGAAUUAUGAUAACCAUGGUGUCUCUUGUCCUCCGCCUCUCUGCCUCUCCGGCAGCCAGAUACAAUAAAUUGCUAUCGUUAAUCACCUGUUCUUUGUUCCUCCAUGAUUACCCCUCCGCCACAAUAAGAGUUUUAUUUAAGGAAGAAUAUGGAUUUGUCAUCCACAAUAUUUGAUGUCCUGACAUUUCAUUUGUUAAAGGGGACGCAGGCUGUAUUUGCAUUUUAUGACUCCCUCUCUUCUCUCUCUCUCUUUACUCACUCGCUCUUUCUCUUCUCCACUCUGCCUCUCCCACCUUCCAUCUCUCGUUUAUCCAUACGGUGUAGGUGUCAUUAGUGUAUUAGGUAAGGGAAGCAGGGACAUAUAGGAGAGAAACAGAGGUGAUGGAUGUUGUCUGGGCUCCCUAGUGGCGCAGCGGUCUAAGGCACUGCAUCUCAGUGCUAGAGGCGUCUCUACAGACCCUGGUUUGAUUCCAGAUCACAAUCGGCCGUUGAUCACAAGUGAUUGCGAUUCCAAGCUCUGUCUAGUUGAUUGUUGAUCAUUGCUAGACAGCCAUUUUCAAGUCUUGCCAUAGAUCUUUAAGCCAAUUUAAGUCGAAACUGUAAUGAGGCCACUCAGGAACAUUCAAUGUUGUCUUGGUAAGCAACUCCAGUGUAGAUUUGGCUUUGUGUUUUAGGUUAUUAACCUGCUGACAGGUGGAUUUGUCUCCAAGUAUCUGUUGGAAGGCAGACUGAAACAGGUUUUCCGCAAGGAUUUUGCCUGUGCUUACCCCUAUUCCGUUUCUUUUUAUCCUAAAUAACUCCCUAGUCCUUGCCGAUGACAAGCAGACCCCUAACAUGAUGCAGCCACCACCAUGCUUGAAAAUAUGAAGAGUGUUACUCAGAGAUGUGUUGUGUUGGAUUUGCCCCAAACAUAACGCUAUUCAGGACAUAAAGCUCAUUUGCUGUUUUUUUGCAGUUUUACUUUACUGCCUUCUUGCAAUCAAGAUGCAUGUUUUGGAAUAUUUUUAUGCUGUACAUUUUUAUGCUUCCUUCUUUUCACUCUGUCAUUUAGGUUAGUAUUGCAGAGUAACUAUAAUGUUGUUGAUUCAUCCUCAGUUUUCUUCUAUCACAGCCAUUAAACUCUAUAACUGUUUUAAAGUCACCAUUGGCCUCAUGGUGAAAUCCCUGAGCGGUUUGGUUCCUUUCCAGAAACUGAGUUAGGAAGGACGCCUGUAUCUUUGCAGUGACUGGAUGUAUUGAUACACCAUCCAAAGUAUAAUUAAUAACUUCACCAUGGUCAAAGUGUCACGCCCUGACCUAAGUUCCUUGUUUAUAUCUCUAUUUUGGUUUGGUCUGGGUGUGAGUUGGGGUGGGCAUUCUGUGUUGUUUUUCUAUGUUUUCUUUUCUAUGUGGUUGGCCUGGUAUGGUUCCCAAUCAGAGGCAGCUGUCUAUCGUUGUCUCUGAUUGAGAACCAUACUUAGGUAGCCUUUUCCCACCUGGUGUUUGUGGGUAGUUGUUUCCUGUUUUGUGUUUUCACCUUUCAGGACUGUUUCGAUUUUCAUUUCUUACAUUCACUUUGUUAUUUUGUAUUUUUCGUGUUCUGUUAUAAUAAAUAAUCAUGGAGACUUACCACGCUGCGCUUUGGUCCGAUCCUUCCUACUCCUCAUCCGAUGAAGAAGAAGAUCGUUACACAAAGGGAUAUUCAAUGUCUGCUUUUGAUUUAUUUUCUACCCAUCUACCAAUAGGGGACCUUUGCGAAGCAUUGGAAACAUCCCUGGUCUUUGUGGUUGAAUCUGUGUUUGAAAUUCACUGCUCGACUGAGGGACCUUACAAUUGUCUGUAUCUGUUGGGUACAGAGUUGAGGUCAAAAAUCAUGUUAAACACUAUUAUUGCACCCAUGCAACUUAUUAUGCGACUUGUUAAUCCAGGUUUUACUCCUGAACUUAUUUAGGCUUGCCAUAACAAAGGGGUUGAAUACCUAUUGACUCAAGGCAUUUCAGCUUUUGCUUUUUAAUUAAUUUAUAAACAUUUCUCAAAACAACAUUUCCCUUUGACAUUUCGGUGUCUCGGCUCCUCUCCUUGUCCGGGCGGCGUUCGGCGGUCGAUGUCACCGGCUUUCUAGCCAUCACCGCUCCAUUUCUCAUUUGUUUUGUCUUGUUCCAUUACACACCUGGUUUUCAUUCCAUAAUUACUGCAUGUAUUUCGUCCUCUGUUCCCCAUCAUGUCUUCGUGUGUAAUUGUUUAUUGUUAUGUGGAUUCUGUCAGGCGCUAUACUUUUACCAUGUUCUGUGUUUUUGACAUGUUAUUGUUCUUAUGUGCUGUCAUUUCUGGAACGGAAUUAAAGUGUGCCUGUUUACACUCUGCUCUCCUGCACCUGAAUCCACCUCUCGUACCCCUGACAUUCGGGGUAUUGUGUGUCAGGCCAGUGACACAAAAUCUCAAUGUAAUCCAUUUUAAAUUCAGGCUUUAACACAACGUGGGUAGGGUAGGUCUAACUGGGAGAUAAAUGUUUUGUAGUGUAGCUAUUUCCUCUUCCUGUUUGGCUGGUGCCAGGCGAGCCACCCUGCUGCCACUGAGGAAUGUGGAUAAUGUGGUUGGCCCUAGGCACCAAGAACAGAGCACAGAGACAUUAAACACACACACACACCAUACACACCAUACACACACAUACACAUAUGCACACCCAUUCCACCAACGGGAAGAAACUAUAACAACAUGUAAACAUAACAGGAAUAGACGUCUUCAAAGACAUAACCCUCUGGAAAUGACUUUGAAUGACUUUGACCUUGUUGGCUUUAUUCUACUCAAACACACUUAAACAAACACACACGAAAACACACACGAAAACACACACACACACACACACACACACACACACACACACACACACACACACACACACACACACACACACACACAUACACACACACACACACACACACACACACACACACACACACACACACACACACACACACACACACACACACACACACACACACACACACACACACACACACACAGUAGGCCCUUUCCCUCUCAGAUCCACCUUCCUCUCACUUGCCUGACCUUCCAGUCCGGGGGGAUGGAAAGAGCAGGAGCACUGUGGAACCUUGGGCUGCGAGUUAUGCAGGACUGAGCUUUGAAUAAUUGUCCCGCAAUAUGAGUGUCUCUGAUUAAUUGCCUGAGAUAAGGUCUGCUUUCCUCCCCCUGCCUGCCCCUUCCUCCCCCCUUAGGCCCCCCUGCCUGCCUGAGCUCUAAUAAUCAGCCCUGGGUACUGGGAGACAGAGAGAUGGAGGGAAGGAGAGAGGGGAGCAGGGGAAGAAACAGGAUUGAGAAAGGGAAAGAGAGAAAGUGAGGGAGACAGAGAGAGGUCAUGGAGAGAAAGAGAGAGAGUGAGAGCAAGAGGAGAGAGAGUAGAGAGAUAUGGUAGUGGAGCAGAGAGAGCGAGAGGAAAGAGUAGAAAGAGAUAGUGGUGGAACAGAGAGAGGUAAAGAGAGAGAGGAGAAAGUAGAAAUAGAGAUCAUGGUGGAGCAGAGAGAGAGAGGGGAAGAGAGUAGAACGCAAGAUAGUGGUGGAGCAAAGAGAGACAGAGGGAAGAGAGUAGAAAGAGAGAUAGUGGUGAAACAGAGAGAGGGAAGGAGAGAGAGGAGAGAGUAGAAAUAGAGAUCAUGGUGGAGCAGAGAGAGAGAGGGGGAAGAGAGUAGAAAGAGAGAUAGUGGUGGAGCAGAGAGAGACAGGGGGAAGAGAGUAGAAAGCGAGAUAGUGGUGGAGCAGAGAGAUAGUAGAAAGAGAGAUAGUGGUGGAGCAGAGAGAGACAGGGGGAAGAGAGUAGAAAGAGAGAUAGUGGUGGAGCAGACUGCCUUACCUGGUUCACCAACUACUUUGCAGACAGAGUUCAGUGUGUCAAAUCGGAGGGCAUGUUGUCCAGUCCUCUGGCAGUCUCUAUGGGGGUGCCACAGGGUUCAAUUCUCGGGCCGACUCUUUUCUCUGUAUAUAUCAAUGAUGUUGCUCUUGCUGCGGGCGAUUCCCUGAUCCACCUCUAUGCA